rnacentral:lncRNA from 1 species
GUUGGAGCAGUCAAAACUUCGACUAAAGUUCUCUAUCGACCUCGUUGGCAUGUUUACCUCCUUCAAUAAUGCCCUUGUUUUCCUCCCUAGCUCAUCUUCUCAGCAGCUGCUGGGCCCGCCCAACAUGACCGAUUCAAAAUGCAGAAACUAUCUGAAUGAUAUAGCUCUCCUCCCCAUUAAGGCAUCCUUCGCCCAACCAAUUUAUCAAGUAUCAACCAUGCCUUGUAGAAUCCCCUCAUCACCUCCUCCCCUCCUCAUCUUCCUCC